GGUGAGUUAUAGUUGUUAAUGUCUGCGUCAGUUUGGUCUCUUGUGGACAGUUGUCUCAUUGGCAAUCAUAUCACAUCUUCUUUUUUAUACAUUAAAUUUAUAGAUUUUUAAGUACUGUUCACCUUACUAUUUACGAAUUUAUCAAUAUCAUAUUAACUUUUUAUUUAAAAACAAAUGGCACAUAUGCAUUACAAAAAUAAGCAAAAAUGGU
rnacentral:lncRNA from 1 species